ACCUGGGAUAGCUCAGUUGGUAAAGCAUGAGACUCUCAAUCUCAGGGUCGUUGUUUCGAGCCCCACUUUGGGCA